rnacentral:lncRNA from 1 species
UGGCAAGUUCAUCCCAAGGAAGGAGCGUAUGGCACUGAUGGGCGACAAACAUCAAGAACUUUGGUGAUGACUUGUCAGACGAGAGGUUGAGGGAAAUCUUUGAGCCGUAUGGAAAGAUCAUCAGCGCAAAGGUCAUGUUUGAUGAUGUUUGAAAGUCAAAAGGAUUUGGUUUUGUCAGUUUUGAUGACACGGAAGCAGCAGAGAGGAUAUAUUGUCAUGGAUGUGCCACAACUUUCUGCUGUGACCUGGAAUUUUCUUAAUUAAUUCUAAUUACUAGACAAACAGAAUUUGUUUUAACAUUCAAUAGUAAUUAUUUAAUUAUUGGAAGCUAUUGAGUGAUGUUUGGAACUUUGCCACUUAUUAUUGUUAUUGUUUAAUGGAAUUUUGAGUAGUGCAGUUUGUCGUGCUGCGCACUAUACUGAUAAAACCGAACUAUACGAGUGUUAUUAUUGAUUGUUUGGAUGCAAAAUAAGAGUUAAAUUUAGUUGUAUUUCCUAAAAAUUGGUUUCAGUUUAUGAAACUAUGUUUGCAAAUAGUUGUCAUAAUGUAUUUAUGGAUAUUCGUAUAUUAUGAUCGCCAAAUGUUUCAAAUUAAUUUCCAAUGUAGUUUUUCGGCCAUGUGGCCUUGGACCUUGCGAUUUAAUUACCAGAUUCCUGUGCAUAUAAAGCCUAUUACAGUACGCUGACAUUAGUAUUAUUUAAGUAAAUCUUACCAUAAUUGCAAUGUGUGUGUGUGUAAUUACACAAUUAAUUUCCGUUUAAUCGCCUGUUUUAACAUGGCUGCCGUAAUGACCUUGCCCUUAGUAAAGUUUAUUUUCCUCCAAAGCUUGUACGAUCGAUUAGCUAUUUUCUUUGUUAAACGUAUUCUAAUAUUGUUUGUACAUUAUGGUAAAUCAUUUUAUUAAUUAAUUGAGAUAAUAACUGUAAAUCUGAUUACUGUAAUAUUAGUGUUUUUAGGAACUAUAUCCUUGUACGCUGAGAACCUGUUUACGCACACAGGUUGCUAAGGUCUGAUAUAUCGGUACACAAUGUUUGUAAACAACAGUAUAAAUAAUGCUGUUUUCACAAUAUUCCCAAAAGUUUUUUCAUUAAAACUAUUUUAUAUUGAAAUUAGACCAAAAAAGCAAUUGUGUAGUAAUAGUCUCAUGUUUAUGCACAUUAGAAUGUGUUUGUGUUAUUAGCCUGAAUUCCCAAUGUAUUUGCUAUGCAAAAUGAGCGUGUUUCUGUGCCUGGUCAAUAAUGUCGUUUUUAUAAAUAUUCUAAAGGCUUUUUCUGUGAUAUUGUUUUACGCUAAUUUUAGACUAAAAAAGCAAUUAAGAAAUGUUAGUUUUAUGUCUAUACAAUUUAAAAAUGUCCAGUAUUAAUUAUUUCAAGUUUGUAAUGCUUUUGCUGUGGGUUGAACUGACGUAUUUAUAAAAGUUGAAGUUUCUCAGGAUUUAGAGAGUGCAUUUACAAACUGUAAAUUGCAAACGGAAAGUGGACCAAAAAGCAAUUACUUUAUUUAUCGAGCAAUUGUGUGCACAACGUAAUUAUUAAAUGAAAUGAUAUUUAUUUUGUAAAGGUAGAUCUCUUCCUAGCAUAACGUAAUUUCUGAUUGGCUGUUAUGGCGUCACGUGGCACUUCUCAAAAAGUAUAAAAGGACGACAACACUCAUUCUCCGACAACCAAAUUGGUAAGUUCAUGUCCCCUUGUCCAACUUUUAGAUUUUAUUACAUUACAUACAUUUCAAUUGACACUGGAAUAACUAACAUAUUUAUAAAGUAAAUUUUAUUAACUUACCAUCUCUAAUUAACUUGUUUUAUGGAAGUAAUAUUUAUAAGCAACUGUAAGCUGUUUACAUUUAUUGGAGAUAGUCUUCACUGGUUUCAUAUAACUAGAGCUGAAAGGAAGAGAUCUAUCUAUAUAUUGGAAACUUACCUGUGAACAUCAACUUUACUUUCAUUUACUCAUAACGUUUAAAUAAAUUUAUAAUUCUGAAAACUGG